AUAAUGGAAAGGUUAAUCUGAAAAAUAUUGUGCCAAAAUUGAAAGAUUUCGAGGGAGAGAAGAUCAGUGUGGGUGGCCUGAAGAGCGCUGUUGGAGAAAUGGGGAUCGAACUCAACGACAGAGAGUAUGUGAACCUGCUGGAGACGCUGCCAUUUGAUGAAAAUAACAAAGUUUUCCGAAAUCGACUCCUGUCCAGCCUGAGGGGUUUCAGAGGUGGAAGGGUUGAUCCCAACAAGCUGAAGACACUCCUCCUAAACAUAGGGCUCAAACUCAAAAGCAAG